rnacentral:rRNA from 1 species
GACGAACGCUGGCGGCGUGCUUAACACAUGCAAGUCGAACGGAAAGGCCCUGCUUUUGUGGGGUGCCCGAGUGGCGAACGGGUGAGUAACACGUGAGUAACCUGCCCUUGACUUUGGGAUAACUUCAGGAAACUGGGGCUAAUACCGGAUAGGAGCUCCUGCUGCAUGGUGGGGGUUGGAAAGUUUCGGCGGUUGGGGAUGGACUCGCGGCUUAUCAGCUUGUUGGUGGGGUAGUGGCUUACCAAGGCUUUGACGGGUAGCCGGCCUGAGAGGGUGACCGGCCACAUUGGGACUGAGAUACGGCCCAGACUCCUACGGGAGGCAGCAGUGGGGAAUAUUGCACAAUGGGCGGAAGCCUGAUGCAGCAACGCCGCGUGCGGGAUGACGGCCUUCGGGUUGUAAACCGCUUUCGCCUGUGACGAAGCGUGAGUGACGGUAAUGGGUAAAGAAGCACCGGCUAACUACGUGCCAGCAGCCGCGGUGAUACGUAGGGUGCGAGCGUUGUCCGGAUUUAUUGGGCGUAAAGGGCUCGUAGGUGGUUGAUCGCGUCGGAAGUGUAAUCUUGGGGCUUAACCCUGAGCGUGCUUUCGAUACGGGUUGACUUGAGGAAGGUAGGGGAGAAUGGAAUUCCUGGUGGAGCGGUGGAAUGCGCAGAUAUCAGGAGGAACACCAGUGGCGAAGGCGGUUCUCUGGGCCUUUCCUGACGCUGAGGAGCGAAAGCGUGGGGAGCGAACAGGCUUAGAUACCCUGGUAGUCCACGCUGUAAACGGUGGGUACUAGGUGUGGGGUCCAUUCCACGGGUUCCGUGCCGUAGCUAACGCUUUAAGUACCCCGCCUGGGGAGUACGGCCGCAAGGCUAAAACUCAAAGGAAUUGACGGGGCCCCGCACAAGCGGCGGAGCAUGCGGAUUAAUUCGAUGCAACGCGUAGAACCUUACCUGGGUUUGACAUGGAUCGGGAGUGCUCAGAGAUGGGUGUGCCUCUUUUGGGGUCGGUUCACAGGUGGUGCAUGGCUGUCGUCAGCUCGUGUCGUGAGAUGUUGGGUUAAGUCCCGCAACGAGCGCAACCCUUGUUCACUGUUGCCAGCACGUUAUGGUGGGGACUCAGUGGAGACCGCCGGGGUCAACUCGGAGGAAGGUGGGGAUGACGUCAAGUCAUCAUGCCCCUUAUGUCCAGGGCUUCACGCAUGCUACAAUGGCUGGUACAGAGGGUGGCGAGCCUGUGAGGGUGAGCGAAUCUCGGAAAGCCGGUCUCAGUUCGGAUUGGGGUCUGCAACUCGACCUCAUGAAGUCGGAGUCGCUAGUAAUCGCAGAUCAGCAACGCUGCGGUGAAUACGUUCCCGGG